rnacentral:rRNA from 1 species
AAACAAAUGACGGUACCCAAAGGGGCAGCCACGGCUAACUACGUGCCAGCAGCCGCGGUAAUACGUAGGUGGCAAGCGUUGUCCGGAAUUACUGGGUGUAAAGGGAGCGCAGGCGGGGAGACAAGUCAGCUGUGAAAACUAUGGGCUUAACCCAUAGAUUGCAGUUGAAACUGUUUUUCUUGAGUGGAGUAGAGGUAGGCGGAAUUCCGAGUGUAGCGGUGAAAUGCGUAGAUAUUCGGAGGAACACCAGUGGCGAAGGCGGCCUACUGGGCUCUAACUGACGCUGAGGCUCGAAAGUGUGGGGAGCAAACAGGAUUAGAUACCCUGGUAGUCCACACUGUAAACGAUGAUUGCUAGGUGUGGGGGGUCUGACCCCUUCCGUGCCGGAGUUAACGCAAUAAGCAAUCCACCUGGGGAGUACGGCCGCAAGGUUGAACUCAAAGGAAUUGACGGGGACCCGCACAAGCAGUGGAUUAUGUGGUUUAAUUCGAAGCAACGCGAAGAACCUUACCAGGUCUUGACAUCCAACUAACGAGGCAGAGAU